GAUGAACGCUGGCGGCGUGCCUAACACAUGCAAGUCGAGCGAUUUACUUCGGUAAAGAGCGGCGGACGGGUGAGUAACGCGUGGGUAACCUGCCCUGUACACACGGAUAACAUACCGAAAGGUAUGCUAAUACGAGAUAAUAUGCUUUUAUCGCAUGGUAGAAGUAUCAAAGCUUUUGCGGUACAGGAUGGACCCGCGUCUGAUUAGCUAGUUGGUAAGGUAACGGCUUACCAAGGCGACGAUCAGUAGCCGACCUGAGAGGGUGAUCGGCCACAUUGGAACUGAGACACGGUCCAAACUCCUACGGGAGGCAGCAGUGGGGAAUAUUGCACAAUGGGCGAAAGUCUGAUGCAGCAACGCCGCGUGAGCGAUGAAGGCCUUCGGGUCGUAAAGCUCUGUCCUCAAGGAAGAUAAUGACGGUACUUGAGGAGGAAGCCCCGGCUAACUACGUG
rnacentral:rRNA from 1 species